CCCUAGUAACUGCGAGUGAAGCGGGAAAAGCUCAAAUUUAAAAGCUGGCGGUCUCAGGCUGUCCGCGUUGUAAUCUAGAGAAGUGUUAUCCGCGCUGGACCGUGUACAAGUCUCCUGGAAUGGAGCGUCAUAGAGGGUGAGAAUCCCGUCUUUGACACGGACUGCCAGGGCUUUGUGAUGCGCUCUCAAAGAGUCGAGUUGUUUGGGAAUGCAGCUCAAAAUGGGUGGUAAAUUCCAUCUAAAGCUAAAUAUUGGCGAGAGACCGAUAGCGAACAAGUACCGUGAGGGAAAGAUGAAAAGAACUUUGGAAAGAGAGUUAAACAGUACGUGAAAUUGCUGAAAGGGAAACGCUUGAAGUCAGUCGCGUGGAUCGGAGAUCAACCUUGCUUUUGCUGGGCGUACUCUCCGGUUGACGGGCCAGCAUCAAUUUUGGGCGCUGGAAAAAGGCUAAGGGAAUGUGGCAUCUUCGGAUGUGUUAUAGCCCUUGGUUGCAUACAGUGGCUGGGAUUGAGGAACUCAGCACGCCGCAAGGCCGGGUUUUUAACCACGUUCGUGCUUAGGAUGCUGGCAUAAUGGCUUUAAUCGACCCGUCUUGAAACACGGACCAAGGAGUCUAACAUGCCUGCGAGUGUUUGGGUGGAAAACCCGAGCGCGUAAUGAAAGUGAAAGUUGAGAUCCCUGUCGUGGGGAGCAUCGACGCCCGGACCAGACCUUUUGUGACGGAUCUGCGGUAGAGCAUGUAUGUUGGGACCCGAAAGAUGGUGAACUAUGCCUGAAUAGGGUGAAGCCAGAGGAAACUCUGGUGGAGGCUCGUAGCGAUUCUGACGUGCAAAUCGAUCGUCAAAUUUGGGUAUAGGGGCGAAAGACUAAUCGAACCAUCUAGUAGCUGG
rnacentral:rRNA from 1 species